GAGUUUGAUCUUGGCUCAGAACGAACGCUGGCGGCAUGCCUAACACAUGCAAGUCGAACGAGAUCUUCGGAUCUAGUGGCGCACGGGUGCAUAACGCGUGGGAAUCUGCCCUUGGGUGCGGAAUAACUUCUCGAAAGGGAUGCUAAUACCGCAUAAUGUCGUAAGACCAAAGAUUUAUCGCCCAAGGAUGAGCCCGCGUAAGAUUAGCUAGUUGGUGGGGUAAAAGCCUACCAAGGCGACGAUCUUUAGCUGGUCUGAGAGGAUGAUCAGCCACACUGGGACUGAGACACGGCCCAGACUCCUACGGGAGGCAGCAGUGGGGAAUAUUGGACAAUGGGCGAAAGCCUGAUCCAGCAAUGCCGCGUGAGUGAUGAAGGCCCUAGGGUUGUAAAGCUCUUUUACCCGGGAUGAUAAUGACAGUACCGGGAGAAUAAGCUCCGGCUAACUCCGUGCCAGCCGCCGCAGUAAC
rnacentral:rRNA from 1 species